GAGGGGAUAGCUCAGUGGUAGGGUCCAUGCUUAGCAUGCACAAGGUUCUGGGUUCAAUCCCCAGUACCUCUG
rnacentral:tRNA from 1 species